GAUCUUAGCAGGGAACUAGCUUCAAGUCUGAGGGUUCAGGUCUGAGCAGGGAACGCGCGUAAGGUUUGAGGGUUCAGGCCUGAGGGUUCAGGUCUGAGGGUUCAGGUCUGAGGGUUCAGGUCUGAGCAGGGAACUUCAAGUCUGAGGGUUCAGGUCUGAGCAGGGAACUAGCUUCAAGUCUGAGGGUUCAGGUCUGAGCAGGGAACUACAAGCCUGAGGGUUCAGGUCUGAGCAGGGAACUUCAAGUCUGAGGGUUCAGGUCUGAGCAGGGAACUUCAAGUCUGAGGGUUCAGGUCUGAGCAGGGAACUCGCUUCAAGUCUGAGGGUUCAGGUCUGAGCAGGGAACUAGCUUCAAGUCUGAGAGUUCAGGUCUGAGCAGGGAACUAGCUUCAAGUCUGAGGGUUCAGGUCUGAGCAGGGAACGCGCGUAAGGUUUGAGGGUUCAGGCCUGAGGGUUCAGGUCUGAGGGUUCAGGUCUGAGCUUGACGGAGGACAGAGAGGAUGGAAUGAGAAUGAAGCUUUCAGUGAACAGCACGAAGGAAAACCUCCAGAACUCCAACCCCUUAGACCUGGUUCCUACCCCCCAUACGCCCCCCACCGGAGACUUUACUGAAUUAGUGCCUUUAAAGAUGGCCGCCAACACGUCCUCACAUUUGACAAUAACGUGAUGCUGCUGAGCUCGGUGAGGUAGACGUCCAGACCCCCAAAGUCCCAACAGUCUGGAUUUAUAGGACAGGUUUCGUCCCGUGGGAACGAGUCUUCUUUAGGACUCUAGUUUGGAUCUUAUAAAUAUCAUUAAGGGGACCAAGUUCUCGUGUGAGAAACGUUCACAGCCCCUGACCGCCCAAAGGAGGUCUUCUUUGACCUGGAGCGGGACGAGCGGGACGAGGGGCGAGUCCAUGGUCUGUGUAUAUAACGGACAGCGUCGCUUCGCCUUUUCCCGUUGUACGGUCUUGAAGCCU